GGACAGGUGCCUGAGUGGUUGAAAGGACCGGUCUUGAAAACCGGCAUAGGUUAACGCCUAUCGUGGGUUCGAAUCCCACCCUGUCCGCCA
rnacentral:tRNA from 1 species